GUGCCAGCGCCGCGGUAAUACGGAGGGGGUUAGCGUUGUUCGGAAUUACUGGGCGUAAAGCGCACGUAGGCGGAUCAGAAAGUUGGGGGUGAAAUCCCGGGGCUCAACCCCGGAACUGCCUCCAAAACUACUGGUCUAGAGUUCGAGAGAGGUGAGUGGAAUUCCGAGUGUAGAGGUGAAAUUCGUAGAUAUUCGGAGGAACACCAGUGGCGAAGGCGGCUCACUGGCUCGAUACUGACGCUGAGGUGCGAAAGUGUGGGGAGCAAACAGGAUUAGCUACCCCUGUAGUCC
rnacentral:rRNA from 1 species